AUUGAACGCUGGCGGCAGGCCUAACACAUGCAAGUCGAGCGGAUGAAGGGAGCUUGCUCCUGGAUUCAGCGGCGGACGGGUGCGUAAUGCCUAGGAAUCUGCCUGGUAGUGGGGGAUAACGUCCGGAAACGGGCGCUAAUACCGCAUACGUCCUGAGGGAGAAAGUGGGGGAUCUUCGGACCUCACGCUAUCAGAUGAGCCUAGGUCGGAUUAGCUAGUUGGUGGGGUAAAGGCCUACCAAGGCGACGAUCCGUAACUGGUCUGAGAGGAUGAUCAGUCACACUGGAACUGAGACACGGUCCAGACUCCUACGGGAGGCAGCAGUGGGGAAUAUUGGACAAUGGGCGAAAGCCUGAUCCAGCCAUGCCGCGUGUGUGAAGAAGGUCUUCGGAUUGUAAAGCACUUUAAGUGGGGAGGAAGGGAAGUAAGUUAAUACCUUGCUGUUUUGACGUUACCAACAGAAGAAGCACCGGCUAACUUCGUG
rnacentral:rRNA from 1 species